AUUGAACGCUGGCGGCAUGCUUUACACAUGCAAGUCGAACGGUAACAGGGUGCUUGCACCGCUGACGAGUGGCGAACGGGUGAGUAAUGCGUCGGAACGUGCCGAGUAGUGGGGGAUAACGCAGCGAAAGUUGUGCUAAUACCGCAUACGUACUGAGGUAGAAAGUGGGGGACCUUCGGGCCUCACGCUAUUCGAGCGGCCGACGUCUGAUUAGCUAGCAGGUGAGGUAAAGGCUCACCUAGGCGACGAUCAGUAGCGGGUCUGAGAGGAUGGUCCGCCACACUGGGACUGAGACACGGCCCAGACUACUACGGGAGGCAGCAGUGGGGAAUUUUGGACAAUGGGCGAAAGCCUGAUCCAGCCAUGCCGCGUGUCUGAAGAAGGCCUUCGGGUUGUAAAGGACUUUUGUCGGGGAGGAAAUCCCCAGCGUUAAUACCGCUGGGGGAUGACAGUACCUGAAGAAUAAGCACCGGCUAACUACGUGCCAGCCGCCGCCGUAA
rnacentral:rRNA from 1 species